rnacentral:lncRNA from 1 species
AAAAAUUCAGGAAUAUAUAAAACAACUCAGAACGAUCUUUCAUUAAGAAAAUCCAAGUACAUCUUAAAUGACCAUCAAUGAAACUAACAAAAUAACGAAAUCCCAAGGUUGAACUGACUAUACUAGGACCCCAUAUAUUCAAAUGAACUAAAGAAAAAACAGACUCUGCACGACUCCCAAUACUACGAGGAAAGGAGGCUCGGGUAUGUUUCCCCAGCUGACAUGACUCACACUCUAAUGUGGAUAAACUGGACAAAACGAGGCACCAUUUUCUGAAGCUUGGACAAGCUAGGAUGUCCUAAACGACUGUGAAGUAGGUCUGGAGGAUCUGCAACUAGACAGGCCUUAGAGGAUGGACAAGCUAGGAUGUCCUAAACGACUGUGAAGUAGGUCUGGAGGAUCUGCAACUAGACAGGCCUUGGAGGAUUUUAGUGAGUUAAGGUAGAAGAGUCCUUCUUAUUCGAGUUAUGUUCCAA